CGGUGGAGUAUGUGGUUAAUUCGAUGCAACGCGAAGAACCUUACCUGGUCUUGACAUCCCGGAGACCCUUAGGAAACUAAGGGGGUGGCUUCCAUCUGGAAGAAUCUGGAGACAGGUGCUGCAUGGCUGUCGUCAGCUCGUGUCGUGAGAUGUUGGGUUAAGUCCCGCAACGAGCGCAACCCUUGCCUUUAGUUGCCAGCAGUUCGGCUGGGCACUCUAAAGGGACUGCCGGUGUUAAACCGGAGGAAGGUGGGGGAUGACGUCAAGUCCUCAUGGCCUUUAUGACCAGGGCUACACACGUACUACAAUGGCCGAUACAAAGGGCAGCGACACUGCGAGGUGAAGCCAAUCCCGUAAAAUCGGUCUCAGUCCGGAUUGGAGUCUGCAACUCGACUCCAUGAAGUUGGAAUCGCUAGUAAUCGUGGAUCAGCAUGCCACGGUGAAUACGUUCCCGGGCCUU
rnacentral:rRNA from 1 species